rnacentral:rRNA from 1 species
CGUGGGUAACCUGCCUUAUAGUGGGGGAUAGCCUUUCGAAAGGAAGAUUAAUACCGCAUAAGAUUGUAGUAUCGCAUGAUAUAGCAAUUAAAGGAGCAAUCCGCUAUAAGAUGGACCCGCGUCGCACUAGCUAGUUGGUGAGGUGAUGGCUCACCAAGGCGACGAUGCGUAGCCGACCUGAGAGGGUGAUCGGCCACAUUGGGACUGAGACACGGCCCAGACUCCUACGGGAGGCAGCAUG